rnacentral:misc_RNA from 1 species
UAAUAAGUCGUUUUUAUGGCACUUUUAAAUCCAUAUCCACCUUGUGUGCAAUGUCCAGCUCAGACAGUCCUUCUUCAUGGGAGGAUCGACCCAAACAUCAACCUUUAUUUUUUAACUCUUUGUCUGAAAAAUAUUAUGAAUAAACAAUUCAAAAUUAC